rnacentral:rRNA from 1 species
GAUGAACGCUGGCGGCGUGCCUAAUACAUGCAAGUCGAGCGAACAGACGAGGAGCUUGCUCCUCUGACGUUAGCGGCGGACGGGUGAGUAACACGUGGAUAACCUACCUAUAAGACUGGGAUAACUUCGGGAAACCGGAUCUAAUACCGGAUAAUAUAUUGAACCGCAUGGUUCAAUAGUGAAAGACGGUUUUGCUGUCACUUAUAGAUGGAUCCGCGCCGCAUUAGCUAGUUGGUAAGGUAACGGCUUACCAAGGCGACGAUGCGUAGCCGACCUGAGAGGGUGAUCGGCCACACUGGAACUGAGACACGGUCCAGACUCCUACGGGAGGCAGCAGUAGGGAAUCUUCCGCAAAGGGCGAAAGCCUGACGGAGCCACGCCGCGUGAGUGAUGAAGGUCUUCGGAUCGUAAAACUCUGUUAUUAGGGAAGAACAAAUGUGUAAGUAACUAUGCACGUCUUGACGGUACCUAAUCAGAAAGCCACGGCUAACUACGUG